ensembl:lncRNA
AACUUGGCCAGCUCUCACCAAAGUUUUGAUUAACAGAGAAAGAGUUUUUGUGCACUUUCCUAGUCUCCUUGUUCCAGCCUCCUCCCAGCCUGGUUCCUCCCGAGUCUGACGGAUUCCCUGGCUUCCCUUCUCAUCUCACCCUCCGCAACUCUGCCUCCUUCUGCGUCCGAUUGAAACCUUUUGUAGCGUUCGGUCCCGCUGGCUCGGCUGGAGGAUGCCGCGUGAAGUGAUCGUGCUGCACUCGUAUCCAGCACCCAUUUUGCCUUCCUUGUUAUUACAGGGAGCAAUUAGGGGUUAGGUGUCUUGCUCAGGGACACUUCGACAUGGGACAUGGGGCAUCCAGGACUCGAACCACCAACCUUGUGGUUCUCACCGCACCCUCUCUACCCCUGCGCCACGACGACCCAUAAAGACAAACCAAAAGAGAGAUAAAGACUUAACAACCUCCCAACUGUUUGCUGUCCUGGCUCCUAAAUGUUGGAAUGAGCUCCCCAAUGACAUCCGGACAGUAGAAAGCCUAUACACCUUCCAAAGCAAACUAAAAACCCACCUCUACCGAUUAUACCUGGACUAGAUAACACUUUAUUAGCACUUAGAGCACUUUGUUAUUUUUCUUUCCUGAAGAAAUUGUACUUUCUUGAUUCUUGUUGUCCUGAGCCUGUUGAAUGCACUUAUUGUCUAUUUGGAGAAUGACAAUAAUGAAGCUGGGGCAGUGCUCCUUGGCAUUUGUGUGUAACUCACCAACCCCGGCUCAUUUGACGUAGUAUAAAGGGGCGCGAUAAUCAAUGCGAGACUGGUGAGAAGGAUUGUGGAAAGGUCAAAACACAGGACUUUCCCCCAGGUGUCCCAUGUAAAAGUAAAAGUAAGUGUAUUGUCAUUAGAGUUGUUUGCUUUGUCAAUCCUGUGACAUUGAACAAUGCUCUUUAACUAAACCUUGCCCAGUUUUGUUGCCUUAACUUUGCUUUCUCUGAAGACCAAAGGGGAUCUUGAAAUACCUGAUGCAUAGAUUAUAUCCACAUGGCGACAUUGACAAGUGAUAACUGUCAUUUGAGGGGUACGUAGCACGUUGUAGAUUGAAGAUUAGUGCCAAUGACCAAGCUGCGUUACUUGACACAUAGGUGUGACAAUGUAAUCCAAAAAAUAUUGGCCUUUGAGCCAAGAGACGGCUAUUUGUGUGCCUAUGAACCACUUUCAUUUGUUGCCAAACCAAACAAAGUACUUCUAGAGUUUUGUAGCAUUUCAAUUUACUAUGAUAGCCACGAGUUUUGAUCUCUUUACACCUGCAGCCAUUUCUCAUUUUAUUUACUGACUGCUGCUAUUGCAC